rfam:Triticum urartu cultivar G1812 contig1171380, whole genome shotgun sequence.
UUAUUACUCCCUCUGUUCGGAAUUACUUGUCUCAGAUAUGAAUGUAUCUAGAACUAAAAUACGUCUAGAUACAUUCAUUUCUACGACAAGUAAUUCCGAACGGAGGGAGUACUUC